rnacentral:rRNA from 1 species
ACACCGGCCGCUCAAGUGGUAGCCGCUUUUAUUGGGCCUAAAGCGUCCGUAGCCGGUCUGAUAAGUCUCUGGUGAAAUCCCGCAGCUUAACUGUGGGAAUUGCUGGAGAUACUAUCAUGACUCGAGGUCGGGAGAGGCUGGAGGUACUCCCAGGGUAGGGGUGAAAUCCUGUAAUCCUGGGAGGACCACCUGUGGCGAAGGCGUCUAACUGGAACGAACCUGACGGUGAGUAACGAAAGCCAGGGGCCCGAACCGGAUUAGAUCCCCGGGUAGCCCUGGGCGUAACCGAUGUGGACUUGGUGUUGGGAUGGCCUCGGGCUGUGCCUGUGCCGAGGGGAAGGUGUUAAGUCCACCGCCUGGGAAGUACGGUCGCAAGACGGAAACUUAAAGGAAUUGGCGGGG